CACGUUUAUUCUGCGUGUCGUACGAGACGCGACGACAAUUCUCACCUCGUUGUCACGCGACUCUUGUCGCUCGAUUCUGAUUGUCGUCUCGAGUGAGGUGAGAGCUUCAUUUUAGAUGUGAGAAACAAAAUGAACAAAAACAAAUGUGGUGUUCAUUUGUAGAACUGUCAAACCGGCGGUGCAUCAAGAAUGCGCUUCGAUUACGGCUUAUUUGAAAAGCAGCAUUUUGCUUUUAUUUUUGAUUAAAUAUUUUUUCAUAUUUUCACGUAAUAAAUACGAAAUGUUAUCCGUAUAAAGAAAAGUUAUAUGGGUUUCAAUAAUUGUGAGGUACUUCACAACUUCCAAAGUGAGUGUUUUCUCAUAAUUUUGGUGGCGCAAACCUUUCGGACGUUUGGCCCUUAUUUAAAAUUAUUCGUUUGCCUUGUGUUGCUGCUUCCAAGAAACUUCCGCAAAAUUUUGUUUUUGCUCACGGAUAGUUUGUUUCAUGGGAAUCUCUUAGAAUUACAUACUAGUGCCGGAUGUUCCGGCCCGGAACCCGCAUGCUGGCUGUGGCAGAAGUUUGAUGACGGGGACUGUUAUUUUGAGAUUUCAGCGGCGGUUUCGGCGACGGUCGUGCAGCAGAAGUAGUGAAGGUGUAUCGUACCGUAUAGACGGAACCAUUGGAUGAAGUUGUCAACACCCAGUUUUGCUACCUUCCGGUCGUACCGGUUUGGAGCUUCCAACUGGUAGCAAGAGCUUCCAAGGACUGCUGCGAAAUGGAUUUUCUUCGGUGGAGUCUUGGACUACGUCAUACAAGUGGACGUUGGAGCUGCCGUUGGGCUAAAUUAUGAAUUGAAAUUGUUGUGGACACAAAAGGACCAAGUACUAAAAAGUGUAAAUGUUUAAGACCAUAUAAGACAAAGCAUAAUAAAAGUAUUCCAGGA